AGCGAACGCUGGCGGCGUACCUAACACAUGCAAGUCGAACGGGGAUCACAGGGUUAGCAAUAACUCCGUGGUUCUAGUGGCGCACGGGUGAGUAACACGUGGGUAACCUGCCCUUGAGACUGGGAUACCCCCUCGAAAGGGGGGCUAAUACCGGAUACGUUCCUCGGAUCGAAAGGUUUGAGGAGGAAAGGUGGCGAAAGCUGCCGCUCUUGGAGGGGCUCGCGGCCUAUCAGCUAGUUGGCGGGGUAACGGCCCACCAAGGCUAUGACGGGUAGCUGGUCUGAGAGGACGACCAGCCACACGGGGACUGAGACACGGCCCCGACUCCUACGGGAGGCAGCAGUGGGGAAUUUUCCGCAAUGGGCGAAAGCCUGACGGAGUGACGCCGCGUGUGGGAUGAAGG
rnacentral:rRNA from 1 species